UUUCAAUCAUAGUCUAGGGGUAUACUUUUGUAUAUGGCAGAAUACAGAUAGAGUAUCGAGAAGAAUAUCUAUACCAAAGCCUAUUUCUCUUAGGAGUGACUUCAAGAAGAUCAUCUAAUAAGACUUUUGGUAACUCACACAACUGGAACUGACUGAAAAUGUUGUGUCUCAACACUAGAAUCAUUAACUCGAACUAAGUGAUAGAUGCAUCACUUGAAAACUAACUUUCUCGUCUUAAGGUACGAAAUAAAAUAACUCUUAGGCACUGCUGAAUCUUUCUUAAAGUAUGAAAUAAAACUAACUUUCUCGCCUUAAUGUUUGCAAAAGACUUCUCAAAGGAUUCAAACAAACUCUCAAGACUUGACUCUUAACUUUACCUUGAAUUUAAAUUAUAAAUUCAAGAUGAUGAUUCAUGUUAUGAAUGAAUUUUAGAUGUUUAGAAGCAAUGUGGAGUAGUUGGAAUCAAAGAGUAACAGGUACCCUUUGAAAGAAUGUAGACGGGCUAAGCGAUAGAGAAUGGGUUGGGAGGGGCGACCCUGGUGCCAAAGGCUCCAGCCCUGUACUAUAGAUCAUCUUUCCAGACCCAAUGGAAAGACACCACUCUCGCCCUUGCCCAGAUUAUCCCGAUGAAUUUUUUCUCACUUUUUUUAUCCUAACUCGCCUAUAAUCACACUUAGAUUUGAAUACCCAACAUAUGUACACGAUAAUUUACUCAAAACAAACUUCAAAUUACUGAUACUCAUCUCAAGAAUUCAUCAAAACCCCAACAAUCAAGAUUACGAAUGGAAUUUCAAGAAAACUCAUCAAGAACUCAAAUCCUUCAACCUCAAGAGUGAAGGCAUGAUUGACAUGUGAGUUAACGAAUCCAACACUGUAAGAACUCACAUACCUCUCGGGGAUCAAACCCUUGGAGAAACAACCCUCGAUCCGCAAAAAAUCUUGAUGAAAGCCCUGAACCUUUCCUUUUUUUUCCUCCUCUUUUCUCUUCUUGAACUUUCUUCUAAAAUCAUAAGCGUAUUUUGGGAUGAUAAAAACUGACCCAAAUCAAAUUUUACCCCAAAAAUAUUACUAAUUUUGUUUUAAUCUAAUUAGGUAAGGAAAGUACUAAAAUAUCCCUCAUAAUUUUAGGUGAUUUCCUUUUGAUUAACUUCAAAUGGGCAUAUCUUCCUCAUACGAACUCAAAAUGUUGCAAACUUGGUGAAAUUGAAAAGAGGAUUCCAAGACCUUUCAUGAUAUCUUAUGGUCCACCUAGAUCAUCCUAUACUAAAAUUUAUGGUCGAUUGAAAUUGACUCAAAACUUACAACUUAAGCAUAACUUACAAUAUUUUAUUGAUAUUUCCAAUUUAGUUCUUUCUAAUUUUAACUCUUUCAAAUACCAAGGUAUUACAAAAAUAAACACAUAUGAAUAGAAAAUUACUUCUAAGGCUCCAAUCUUUAAUACUUUAUUAGAUCAUUCAAUGGACUGCUUUAUUAAUAGCUUAUGAUCUACUUAUAAUAUAUUAAUAUGUGAGUGCACAAAAUAAAAAUUACUAACAUUGCCAUCUUAAAUAGUCGAUAAUUAUUGUGUUGAGCUAUUUUUAAUAGUACUCUUAAUUUUGUUUGCAUUGUCAAUUAAUUUCUUAAACUUGAUCUCAUCAACAUAUCAGAACUAUGGAUUGGACACUCAUCGCCAAAAUAACAUAAUAUAUAGGUCAAAUAUUACUUUUAAUCAAAUUUGGGCUCGAAACUCGUUUAUUCAAUCAUAAAUAUAAAAAUUAUAUGUCGGUCUGGCCCAACUUGAAAAAUGAAAGUUGGCCCAUAUGAAUCAAUAUCCUUUCUAUUUCUUACCCUAUUUUUAACAUUUCCCCUAACAUUUGUUUCCAAAUCAUCCUCUUUCAUAUUCUUUUCUGCGCCGCCUUCCUGAUUCUCCGUAGUCUCAUUUAGAUCAUCAACAUUCAGAUGGUGGUAUACCACUACACAUCUUCAAUAGCUUCAAUAGGCACUGCUCCUCCUUAUCUUCCUCCUCCUUUUCGUUUUUAAUCUCUUUUUUAUCUUGGUUUAGGUCAUUCUGAUUUCUGGACCUAACACCGCUGCUAGAUAUGAAGCGAUCUUCCUCUCUAAGACAAUGGAAGAUGUACUUUGGAUGUAUAGUCCUUGACUUUGGUUGAUUCCCUCUUUUGUAAGCUCAUAAAUGACAACAGGCUUGACAAUGGCAAACAUACGAAAGCUAAUGGGAGAUACGUCUUAAAGAACAUUUGAAAUUGAUGUGACAAUAAAUUGGAGAAAUUAUAUUGGAGACUCAUAUUCUUGGUAUUAUCUUAGUAUUUGUGUGAUGUUAAAUAUUUAAUAAUUCAGAAUCAUACUCCAUUUACAUAUAUUAAUUUGCAUGUAUUUGGUGUAUUCCUUAUGAGGACAUGGUAUAAAAUAAUUGAAUACAAUUUGAUAAGACAUUAUUCACAUUUUA